ensembl:lncRNA
AUGGAGUCACAGACAGUUCAGACACAGACAGUUCAGAACUUAGUUAACAACUGGAGUUUCAGUAAAUACUUUGUACUUUUCUUAGUACAAGCAUUGGUCUGCAGCUUACUUAGCAGCUGGCUAAUCAGCCCCAUGACCAAUCUUAUAAAUACAGAAUUCCUUGUCUCUCUGAAAGGGCUCAUCACAUGGAACUUAUGGCAAAAUCUAAUUGACAUACUACUUUCCCAUGAGUUUUUGAUUGUUGUAAUUUUAAUAUUGUAUUUCCUUGAAGAACUCAAUUCUCAGUCAAACCAACCAAUUGCUCCCUCUCAUAUUCAACAAAUGGAAAAACUAAAUACUAGACAGGGCCUUAUAGAGGAAAGUCAGGGAGAGAUUGUAACUUUUAUAAGAAGCAUUAACAGAGAGUUAAGAACAAUAUCAAAAUCUCUGUCCCACCCUGCUAUGGACAAUAACCCUCUUAACGAACCCAACCCUCCCUCUGCCCCCUUGGCCUCAGAAAACUCUAAUCAAUCAACUCUGAAUUCACACCCUACCGGUACUUCUGAUCUUAAUCCCUCUACUUCACACCUUACUGAUUCCUCCAAUCCAAACACCUCUGUAUCCUUUCAUACUUCUUCCUUGGCUCCUCCUUCUCAUCCUACACAAUCUACUUUAAGUUCACAUUCCAACCUAAAUUUACAUCCUACCUCUGAAUUUUCUGGCACAAUGGGACAACAACAAACCCUUCCUUUUAAUGUGCCCAACUUUUCUAUGUCUCAGACUUACCCAAUUGAAAAUGGAGCAAGAAACCUAGAAACAGGAGUACCAAAUAAUUCAGAUAGUUUAUUUCCUUUAAGGGAAGCACCCACUUUUAAUAAAAAUGGAAACUUGAUAUCUGUAAGACAUCAUACACCUUUUAGCCCUGAGGAUUUAAAAAAAUUGAAGGAAGAUAUGCCAUCAUUUGAGGACGAACCAAUAUUAAUUAUAAAAAAAUUAGAGAACAUAUUCAGAACUUUUGACCCCACUUGGUUAGAUGUUGAGAAUAUAUUAGAAGAAUUAUUAACAAAGAGAGAAAAAAAUAAAAUCGUUUCUCUGGCUAAUCAAAAACAAGGUAAAAGAGGACAUUAUUGGCCAACUGAAGAUCCACAUUGGAACUCCAAUGUUGAAUUAGAUUACACAAAACUAAACCAGGCCAGAGAAGCAUUAUUGACAGCCGUGAGAACUUGCUCUGAUAGACCUGAAAAAUGGUCAAAAUUUGAAAAAACCCGACAACAUAUUGAUGAAACACCUUCCCAGUUUAUGGACAGACUUAUUGACGUAGGGAAUACAUAUAUGGACCUUGAUUUAUCCAGAGAAAGAGACAGACAAAUACGUAGGCAAUUUGUUAAAAAUUGUUGUUCAGUGGUAAACGACUACUUUAGAACUAGCUGUCCUAAUUGGGACUCUAUGGACCUCGAUGAACUAAGGAGAGUGGCAACCUAUGUUUAUAAAGGUCGUGUAAAAAGACCUGAGGAAGACGAUACAUCAGUGGAAGAUUUAAAGAAAGAAAUUGAAAUGUUAAAGAGACAAUUGAAAAAUAAGGGAGAGACUAUAGCCCCUUUACGGGAAUUCACAAAUAAAUCAAUAACUUGCCACUUCUGUGAGAAGAAGGGCCAUAAAAUGAUGGAAUGUAGAACCUUUCUUAAGAUGAUUGGAAGGAAUACGCAGUUUAAUAAUAGCUUUAGAAAUAACUAUAGAAAUGAUGAUAAUGGUAAUAGAAACCAGAACAACUAUAAUGAUAAUAAUAGUCAUAGAAACCAGAAUUUUAGAAAUUAUAAUGAUGAUUAUGGAAACAACUAUAAUGAACAUAGAAAUAAGAACUUUAGAAACCAGAAUUAUAGAAAUAGGAACUGGGAAAAUAAUGACAAUGCUCCAAAUGAAGAAAAUGAUAAUACUCAACAACAAUAUAUGAGAAAUGGAGCUCGUCCAAAACAUACUCGAGGUGCUAAUGACCCUCAGAGAGGUGCCCUUCAGGAGGGUGCCCAGGGAACUUCCCAGUAUAAUGAAGAUGAUUCUUCUUAG